AGAAUCAACGCUGGCGGCGUGCCUAACACAUGCAAGUCGAACGAGAAAGUGGAGCAAUCCAUGAGUACAGUGGCGUACGGGUGAGUAACACGUGACUAACCUACCCUCGAGUGGGGAAUAACCUAGGGAAACCUGGGCUAAUACCGCAUAACAUCUUCGGAUCAAAUGCGUAAGCAGCUUGAGGAGGGGGUCGCGGCCGAUUAGCUAGUUGGCGGGGUAAUGGCCCACCAAGGCAAUGAUCGGUAGCCGGCCUGAGAGGGCGCACGGCCACACUGGAACUGAAACGCGGUCCAGACUCCUACGGGAGGCAGCAGUGGGGAAUUUUGCGCAAUGGGGGAAACCCUGACGCAGCAACGCCGCGUGGAGGAUGAAGCCCCUUGGGGCGUAAACUCCUUUCGACCAAGACGAUAAUGACGGUACUGGUGGAAGAAGCACCGGCUAACUCUGUGCCAGCAGCCGCGGUAAUACGGAGGGUGCAGGCGUUGUUCGGAAUUAUUGGGCGUAAAGGGCGCGUGGGCGGCGCGGUAAGUCACCUGUGAAAUCUCCAAGCUUAACUUGGAGCCUGCAGGCGAAACUGCCGUGCUGGAGUAUGGGAGAGGUGCGUGGAAUUCCCGGUGUAGCGGUGAAAUGCGUAGAUAUCGGGAGAACACCUGUGGCGAAAGCGGCGCACUGGACCAUAACUGACGCUGAGGCGCGAAAGCUAGGGGAGCAAACAGGAUUAGAUACCCUGGUAGUCCACGCCCUAAACGAUGCAUACUUGGUGUGAGCGAUUCAUUUCGUUCGUGCCGGAGCUAACGCGUUAAGUAUGCCGCCCUGGGGAGUACGGUCGCAAGGCUGAA
rnacentral:rRNA from 1 species